rnacentral:rRNA from 1 species
UACGUAGGGUCCGAGCGUUGUCUGGAGUUACUGGGCGUAAAGCGCGCGCAGGCGGCGGUGCUGGCCCGGCGUGAAAGCCCCCGGCUCAACCGGGGAGGGUCGUCGGGGACCGCACCGCUUGAGGGCGGUAGGGGCUGGUGGAAUGCCUGGUGUAGUGGUGAAAUGCGUAGAGAUCAGGCGGAACACCCGUGGCGAAGGCGGCCAGCUGGGCCGUCCCUGACGCUGAGGCGCGAAGGCGUGGGGAGCGAACGGG